rnacentral:rRNA from 1 species
UACGUAGGAUCCUAGCGUUAUCCGGAUUUACUGGGUGUAAAGGGUGCGCAGGCGGACUUGUAAGUCAGGGGUGAAAUCUCAUCGCUUAACGGUGAAACUGCCUUUGAUACUAUAAGUCUUGAGUUUGGUAGAGAUCCGUGGAAUUCCGAGUGUAGCAGUGAAAUGUGUAGAUAUUCGGAAGAACACCAGUGGCGAAGGCAGCGGAUUGGGCCAAUACUGACGCUCAGGCACGAAAGCAUGGGGAUCAAACAGG